UAGAACCCUGGUUAAGGAACUAGGCAAAAUAACACCGUAACUUCGGGAGAAGGUGUGCCGUUGAUGGUGAAGCCCUCCUCGGGCCGAGCUGUUGGCGGUUGCAGCGAAAUGGGGAUUGUGACUGUUUACUAAAAACAUAGGACUCUGCAAAGUCGAAAGACGACGUAUAGGGUCUGAUGCCUGCCCGGUGCUGGAAGGUUAAGGGGAAGUGUCAGCGCAAGCGAAGCACCCAACCGAAGCCCCAGUAAACGGCGGCCGUAACAAUAACGGUCCUAAGGUAGCGAAAUUCCUUGUCGGGUAAGUUCCGACCUGCACGAAUGGCAUAACAACAUUCCCGCUGUCUCAACCAGGGACUCAGCGAAAUUGCAUAGGGGGUGAAGAUGCCCUCUACCCGCGGCAAGACGGGAAGACCCCAUGAACCUUUACUGCAACUUGGCAGUGAACUUCGGGAUGUUCUGCGUAGGAUAGGUGGGAGGCGUUGAAGCCGGGCUUCCGGGUUCGGCAGAGCCACCGUUGAAAUACCACCCUGAACAUUCUGGGGUUCUAACCUAGGCCCGUGAUCCGGGUCGGGGACACUGCCUGGUAGGCAGUUUGACUGGGGCGGUCGCCUCCAAAAUCGUAACGGAGGCGUGCGAAGGUUCCCUCAGCCUGAUUGGAAACCAGGCGUAGAGUGCAAACGCAUAAGGGAGCUUGACUGUGAGACCGACAGGUCGAGCAGGUGCGAAAGCAGGUGUUAGUGAUCCGGUGGUUCCUGAUGGAAGGGCCAUCGCUCAACGGAUAAAAGGUACUCUGGGGAUAACAGGCUGAUCGCGCCUGAGAGUUCACAUCGGCGGCGCGGUUUGGCACCUCGAUGUCGGCUCAUCGCAUCCUGGGGCUGGAGCAGGUCCCAAGGGUUUGGCUGUUCGCCAAUUAAAGCGGUACGCGAGCUGGGUUUAGAACGUCGUGAGACAGUUCGGUCCCUAUCUGCCGUGGGCGUAGGACACUUGAGAGGAGUUGCCCAUAGUACGAGAGAACCUGGGUGAACGUACCCCUGGUGAUCCGGUUGUUCUGCCAAGAGCAUUGCCGGGUAGCUACGUACGGAACGGAUAACCGCUGAAAGCAUCUAAGCGGGAAGCCGGCCUCAAGACUAGGUGUCCCGUCGAAAGACCUAAAGGCUCCAUGUAGACCACGUGGUAAUAGGCUGGGUGUGAAAGCGUAGCAAUGCGCGGAGCUAACCAGUACUAAUAAGCCGUGAGGCUUGACC
rnacentral:rRNA from 1 species